rnacentral:rRNA from 1 species
CGGCCUACGGGAGGCAGCAGUGGGGAAUAUUGCGCAAUGGGCGAAAGCCUGACGCAGCGACGCCGCGUGAGCGAUGAAGUAUUUCGGUAUGUAAAGCUCUAUCAGCAGGGAAGAAAAUGACGGUACCUGACUAAGAAGCUCCGGCUAAAUACGUGCCAGCAGCCGCGGUAAUACGUAUGGAGCAAGCGUUAUCCGGAUUUACUGGGUGUAAAGGGAGCGUAGGUGGUAAGGCAAGUCUGAUGUGAAAGGCCAGGGCUCAACCCUGGGACUGCAUUGGAAACUGUUUAACUGGAGUGUCGGAGAGG